GCGCCCGUAGCUCAGCGGAUAGAGCGUUGGACUCCGGAUCCAAAGGCCGGGAGUUCAAGUCUCCCCGGGCGCG
rnacentral:tRNA from 1 species